rnacentral:RNase_P_RNA from 1 species
GCGCAGGUCCGCCUUGUCGCUGCCGAUCAUCUUCGAUCGGGGGAGGAAAGUCCGGGCAACAUAGAGCACCACGCAGGUUAACGGCCUGAUGGGCGUGAGCUUAUGGCAAGUGUAACAGAAAAUAACCGCCCCGUUGGGAGAUUCAUCGAAUCAUCUGCGACGAGGUAAGGGUGAAAAGGCGGGGUAAGAGCCCACCGCGAGGGCAGCAAUGUCACUCGGUCAGUACAUCCCGUGGGUUGCAAGACCAUGUAUACCGACAAUGAAGGGUUGCUCGCCCGAUGUCGGGGGGUAGGUUGCUGGAGGCGGUGUGAGAGCACCGUCGUAGAUAAAUGACAGGGGGCCGCGAAGGGUGGUGGCGACGUUUGGUCGCUGUGAUCCGAGUAGCGGUAACAGAACCCGGCUUAUAGGAUCUGCAAACAA